rnacentral:rRNA from 1 species
GACGCUGGUCGGGAGGCCCUACCAUUGCAAGUCGAGCGGUAGCACAGAGAGCUUGCUCUCGGGUGACGAGCGGCGGACGGGUGAGUAAUGUCUGGGAAACUGCCUGAUGGAGGGGGAUAACUACUGGAAACGGUAGCUAAUACCGCAUAAUGUCGCAAGACCAAAGUGGGGGACCUUCGGGCCUCAUGCCAUCAGAUGUGCCCAGAUGGGAUUAGCUAGUAGGUGGGGUAACGGCUCACCUAGGCGACGAUCCCUAGCUGGUCUGAGAGGAUGACCAGCCACACUGGAACUGAGACACGGUCCAGACUCCUACGGGAGGCAGCAGUGGGGAAUAUUGCACAAUGGGCGCAAGCCUGAUGCAGCCAUGCCGCGUGUGUGAAGAAGGCCUUCCGGUUGUAAACCACUUUCAGCGGGAAGAAAGCGUGGAAGUUAAUAACCUUCCCGAUUCACAUUACCCCAAAAGAACCAACGGCUAACUCCGUGCCAGCAGCCGCGGUAAUACGGAGGGUGCAAGCGUUAAUCGGAAUUACUGGGCGUAAAGCGCACGCAGGCGGUCUGUCAAGUCGGAUGUGAAAUCCCCGGGCUCAACCUGGGAACUGCAUUCGAAACUGGCAGGCUAGAGUCUUGUAGAGGGGGGUAGAAUUCCAGGUGUAGCGGUGAAAUGCGUAGAGAUCUGGAGGAAUACCGGUGGCGAAGGCGGCCCCCUGGGACAAAGACUGACG